AGAGUUUGAUCAUGGCUCAGAUUGAACGCUGGCGGCAGGCCUAACACAUGCAAGUCGAGCGGAUGAAGGGAGCUUGCUCCUGGAUUCAGCGGCGGACGGGUGAGUAAUGCCUAGGAAUCUGCCUGGUAGUGGGGGAUAACGUCCGGAAACGGGCGCUAAUACCGCAUACGUCCUGAGGGAGAAAGUGGGGGAUCUUCGGACCUCACGCUAUCAGAUGAGCCUAGGUCGGAUUAGCUAGUUGGUGGGGUAAGGGCCUACCAAGGCGACGAUCCGUAACUGGUCUGAGAGGAUGAUCAGUCACACUGGAACUGAGACACGGUCCAGACUCCUACGGGAGGCAGCAGUGGGGAAUAUUGGACAAUGGGCGAAAGCCUGAUCCAGCCAUGCCGCGUGUGUGAAGAAGGUCUUCGGAUUGUAAAGCACUUUAAGUUGGGAGGAAGGGCAGUAAGUUAAUACCUUGCUGUUUUGACGUUACCAACAGAAUAAGCACCGGCUAACUUCGUGCCAGCAGCCGCGGUAAUACGAAGGGUGCAAGCGUUAAUCGGAAUUACUGGGCGUAAAGCGCGCGUAGGUGGUUCAGCAAGUUGGAUGUGAAAUCCCCGGGCUCAACCUGGGAACUGCAUCCAAAACUACUGAGCUAGAGUACGGUAGAGGGUGGUGGAAUUUCCUGUGUAGCGGUGAAAUGCGUAGAUAUAGGAAGGAACACCAGUGGCGAAGGCGACCACCUGGACUGAUACUGACACUGAGGUGCGAAAGCGUGGGGAGCAAGCAGGAUUAGAUACCCCGGUAGUCCACGCCGUAAACGAUGUCGACUAGCCGUUGGGAUCCUUGAGAUCUUAGUGGCACAGCUAACGCGAUAAGUCGACCGCCUGGGGAGUACGGCCGCAAGGUUAAAACUCAAAUGAAUUGACGGGGGCCCGCACAAGCGGUGGAGCAUGUGGUUUAAUUCGAAGCAACGCGAAGAACCUUACCUGGCCUUGACAUGCUGAGAACUUUCCAGAGAUGGAUUGGUGCCUUCGGGAACUCAGACACAGGUGCUGCAUGGCUGUCGUCAGCUCGUGUCGUGAGAUGUUGGGUUAAGUCCCGUAACGAGCGCAACCCUUGUCCUUAGUUACCAGCACCUCGGGUGGGCACUCUAAGGAGACUGCCGGUGACAAACCGGAGGAAGGUGGGGAUGACGUCAAGUCAUCAUGGCCCUUACGGCCAGGGCUACACACGUGCUACAAUGGUCGGUACAAAGGGUUGCCAAGCCGCGAGGUGGAGCUAAUCCCAUAAAACCGAUCGUAGUCCGGAUCGCAGUCUGCAACUCGACUGCGUGAAGUCGGAAUCGCUAGUAAUCGUGAAUCAGAAUGUCACGGUGAAUACGUUCCCGGGCCUUGUACACACCGCCCGUCACACCAUGGGAGUGGGUUGCUCCAGAAGUAGCUAGUCUAACCGCAAGGGGGACGGUUACCACGGAGUGAUUCAUGA
rnacentral:rRNA from 1 species